AACAGUAACCACUUUCUGUAACUAUCCAAUCACUGAACGUCACUUUCAAUCCCUUAUCUGCAUAUGUGGACCUGAGUGAAAACUAUCUACAAUAUCCCCCUGCUGGCCCAGGGUGAGAACUUCAUUACAUAACAGAAGACAUCUGCAGGCAACCCUGUUUAGGGAAGUUUUUAAUGUUUGAUGUUUUAUCAUGUUUUUCAUAUUCUAUUGGGAGCCGUGCGGAGUGGCUGAGGAAACCCAGCCAGAUGGGCAGGGUAUAAAUAAUAAAUCAUUAUUAUAAAUGAUGAUGAUGGUGGUGUCUUCCAAGCAGACACACACUCUGAGGAAGAGAUGCCUCCCUGCUUAGCUCUGCGAGACCUGACUCAAAGGGUGAAGGGAGCUCAAGACAGAAGGACCAGGCAACUGCUGUGAAGCUGUUUCAGUGUCUCGCCCUUCUCUGUCCUCUCCUUCAGAUUCUGAAUUCGAAGUGUGUCCAUCUGCAUCCAGUCUUGUCCUAGGAGAGCUCUCUGCCUUUGGCUCUUCUUGUUCACUCAAGCCCCAGUUUCUCCCACCCCAUGUCUUCCUCCCUCCUCUGGUCUGUGUCCCACCCCCACCCCCUGGAUCUGAGCCUUCAUUCUCUGUGGCUUCACUCGGGGGUUCCUCAGCUGGAGCCUCUCACCCCUUUCCAUCAUAGCUGUCAACCGUCCCUUAUUUGGCGGGAAAGUCCCUUAUCCCAGCGCCGUGUCACGCUGCUGUCCCUUAUUGAUGAUGUCCCUUAAAUUUCCCGGGUUUCAAAGGAAGCAGCUCCUCUCCCUCCCUGCCUGCCUGCCGGCCAGGGUGGAGGGAGGCUCCAACUGUGUUGCUUGGCUGCGUUGCUCACCCAAUAAGGAGUCUAAGAACGACUGGGGGGUGGAGCUUGCAUGCCUUGUGCCGAUCAAAUCAGCCGCAUUGCCUGGGGACUCGCCUUUGCUCAGCGCUUCCCAGCGGAGAGGGGACGGUGGUUUUCCUUGCUGCAUCCCCUUUGCCAGGUUGCUGCGCUGUGGGAACCACCGCUUGAGGCUUCGUUUGGCUGCUGGCUGGGCUUUCUGCCUUUGGCUUGGAGGGGCUCAGAAGUUGAACACACCUGUGCCUGGAAAAUCCCUUAUUUUGGCUGCUGAUCCCUUAUUUCCGAGGCUGCUGGUCCCUUAUUUUCAAAUCUGUAAGUUGACAGCUUUCCAUCAUCCAGCCAGUCCCUAACACUUGGUGAUUAACAGUGCGAGCCUACUAACCAUGUCUACUCAGAAGCAAGUACUAUUUAAUUCAAUGGGGCUUACUCUCAGAUAAGAGCAGGGUUCGGAUUGCAGACUAAUUUUCAAAGAUUUAAAAAGCCUUUCUCAAACACAGUGAGGUUGACCAGGUUAGAAAGAACUGUCACUUAACGUGGUAACAGCUUCUGCACGUUUCUAGUUCCAGUUCAUUUUCCGUUCCAUUUCUCCCAGGAAUUCUUAAAGGUUUUUGUGGAGGCGGAAGUUUUCCUUCAUGCAACAGCGUAUGGAUUGUACUCUGAAAUGAAUCAUUUUAUGCUUUAUUUAUUUUUUGCAGGCGACUGUUUCUGAUUACAGCAGCUCAAGGAAGGAGAAAAGGUACUUAACUUCUCUUUUUUAUUUUAAGACAAAGUAAGUGCUGGAGGCAUGUCAUUUUGAGUUACACAGCUAGAAUUCCCAGAGGUUAACUUCUACCGGGGUAAAAAUGCCGCCCGCUGCCAGUUCGUCGUCUGAGGAUGUCUUUAUUGACUCAUAGUGCAUAUUACAAUAUUUCUGUUCCUUUUUAAAAAUAAAACUUUCCGUGAGUGAAGCUAACUCCGUUUUAAAACAGCACAGCUAGUGCUUCUGAGAUCUGCCAAAUCAAAUGUCUUUUACAAACAGGAACUGAAAUAUUGUGUAAGCUUACUUUAUAUUUUAUUAAAGGUUCAUUUUCCCUCCAUUAACCUUCACAUCAAUACAGCCACAAAGUGUAACUGUCUGAGCAUUUUGAAAGGUGAAUUAUUUCCCACUAUGGUAGCUUCAGAAUAACACACCAUCCUUCAAAGAAUCAUUUCUUCCAAUGAUUCUACAGGGGUGACAGUUAUGCUUUAUAUAUACCUUACUAUAACUAUGAUUUAGGAAGAAGCUGACAUUUUAAAAUUUAAUAAAUGCAAUCUAGCAUGUAAUUAGAAGGGAACAAUAUUGUUUUGUAUAUAUAAUCAUUCCAUUCUAUAGGAACAAAUUAAAUUCAAAAUAAUUUUAAAAAAUAAAUUUGUGCUGCCCUGCCUCUUAAAAUUUGUUCCCACUUUCACUGAUUCACCCCCCAGUUAUAUCCAUAAAAGCCUACAGUGUCAAUAUUAAAUGGUUUAAGGAAGCACACCUGUCACUCAGUGGUUUUUUAAAAAGCUGUUUUAUUUGACCAGUUGUAACAAUACAUGAACUCCUUUUUUGUAUUUCCUGUAUUGCACAGCUAUAUCAAUAGGGAACAUGGCAUGGCACAAUUGGCACCUGGUCAGGUUGGCCUUGAAGCGCACUUUGGGCACAAUAAAUUGUGGCACUUUUUAGAUAAAAGAAAAACGAAGACUGAACAGCUGCUCACAAGUGCAAGUUUAUCAGGAGGAAGAUUUCUUUGAUGAAUGCCCCGCCCCAGUUCAGCUCAACAAAGCUUUCCCAGUGAAGGAAAAAGCCAUGGUCUUCUCUCUAAUUGUUUUCUCGGAGGCAAAACUGCUCAAGAAAUUCCGAAACAGAAAUAUAUACGCUUGGGUGCAUCUGUGGAACACAAGUUUCUUUAGCAGCCUUCUUAUGAAGUGAUAUGUUGCUGAGCUGAAUUUCUAAUGGUGUCACUUUUGGACGAUGAUAGAAGUCAUGAAGAACUGACAAAUGAACGCAAGGUGUGCACCCUUUCAUUGACAUUAUCCCUUUCUCACUAUGUUUCAGUGCUAGCGAGAGAGACAGACAGUCCAAAACAUCUAGUAUUCUACCUUGGCUCCCUGCCAAGACUUUAAAGUCUUCCACUGAGCUAAAACAACAGCAGCCCAAGUGUUUUUCUUGGCCCUUUCAGGGCUCAUCUUCCAAAGCUGGACUGAAGAUAGAAAUCUUCUCUCAACAUUUUUUUUUCCCUUUAGACCUUUCUAUUUCAUUAUUCCGCAGCUGCAGAGCUAGAUAAGGUUUUGGUCUGUAGGCAGGGCGCUUGGUCUGCUUAAAAUGCCUCUUAUUCAUUAGUUUUCUUGAGAAGCAAUCUGUUAAACCUUAUAUCAUUCAGUCUCAGAUUGUUAGGUUAAAUGCUACCUUAAAGAUGGCGGGCACUGUGGUUCAGUGGUUCUGCUCUGGCCUCCGAGGCAGUUUCCAGGAAGUAGUUAUGGAAGACUACUGUUUGGCACCCUCAGAGUUAUCCUGUGCUGUCCCUCGGGGUUCCACCUUGUCUCAUGUGCUAUCAAGAUAUUUGGAGUGAAUAUAAUAAUAAUAAUAAUUUAUUAUUUAUACCCCAACCAUCUGGCUGAGUCUCCCCAGCCACUCUGGGCGGCUCCCAACCAAGUGUUAAAAACAGUACAGCAUUAAAUAUUAAAAACUUCCCUGAACAGGGCUGCCUUCAGAUGUCUUUUAAAGAUAGGAUAGCUGCUUAUUUUCUUCACAUCUGAAGGGAGGGUGUUCCACAGGGUGAGCGCCACUACCGAGAAGGCCCUCUGCCUGGUUCCCUGUAACCUCACUUCUCGCAAUGAGGGAACCGCCAGAAGGCCCUCAGCGCUGGAUCUCAGUGUCCGGGCUGAACGAUGGGGGUGGAGACGCUCCUUCAGGUAUACAGGACUGAGGCCAUUUAGGGCUUUAAAGGUCAGCACCAACACUUUGAAUUGUGCUCGGAAAUGUACUGGGAGCCAAUGCAGAUCUCUCAGAACCGGUGUUAUGUGGUCCCGGCAGCCACUCCCAGUCACCAGUCUAGCUGCCGCAUUCUGGAUUAAUUGCAGUUUCCGGGUCACCUUCAAAGGUAGCCCCACGUAGAGCGCGUUGCAGUAGUCCAAGCGGGAGAUAACUAGAGCAUGCACCACUCUGGUGAGACAGUCCGCGGGCAGGUAAGGUCUCAGCCUGUGUACCAGAUGGAGCUGGUAGACAGCUGCCCUGGACACAGAAUUAACCUGCGCCUCCCUGGACAGCUGCGAGUCCAAAAUGACUCCCAGGCUGCGCACCUGGUCCUUCAGGGGCACAGUUACCCCAAUUCAGGACCUGGGAAUCCCCCACACCCGCCUGCCCCCUGUCCCCCAAAAACAGUACUUCUGUCUUGUCAGAAGUGCCACCAAUAUACAGGUAGCUCCCAGUUCUGUCUUUCUGUUCAUCUGAAUCAGGAGGGAUCCGUCACGAUGUUAGACUGCUGCUUAGAGAUGGGUGAUGAGUCGGAUGUGGGCCAAGAAACUGAAGCUAAAUCCUGAGUGUUAGAGAUGUUAUGUGUCUUGGAUGGGGCUGCACUCCCUUAGAAAGAGCAGGUCUACUGAUGGUGGCCGUUCCCAGGAUUGAUCACUGGCCCUGAAGGCUCAGGUGACUUUGGUUACUAGGAAUGCCCUUUUUCCCCAGCUCUUGCUGGUUCACCAGCGAUGGCCUGUUUUGGGUGGAAAUGAGUUGGCCACUGUACUCCAUACUCUGGUACCUUCCAGAUUGGAUUAUUGCAAUGUGCUCUACAGACAACUGCCCUUGAAGACCACUCACAAAUUGCAGCUGGGUCAAAACGCAGUGCACACCUUUAAAUCUCAUGUAACCCCUGCUUUAAGACAGCUGCAUUGGUUUGCUGGUUCAUUUCUGAGCCCAAUUUAAGGGUCUCACGUUAAUAUUUGAAGUUCUAAAUGACUCAGGCCCCAAAUCACCUCCUUCCCUACAGAUCUUCCUUGGUGUUAGGAUUGGUGGAGUGGUCCUUUUGGCUGUUUCACCAUCCUCAGGUGCUUAGAAGGAACCUGGGAGAGGGCAUUCUCUGGGGCAGCCUAUAAGUUGUGGAAUUACCUCCCCACAGCAGUGGGCCUGACAUCUUCAUGAUACACCUUCCAGUGAAUGACGCACAUCCUUAGGCUGGCUUUUGACACUUGAAAUGUAUAUUUUUAAAGGUAAAGGUAAAGGGACCCCUGGCCAUUAGGUGCGGUCGUGACCAACUCUGAGGUUUUGGCGCUCAUCUCGCUCUAUAGGCCAAGGGAGCCAGCGUACAGCUUCCGGGUCAUGUGGCCAGCAUGACUAAGCCACUUCUGGCGAGCCACAGCAGCACACGGAAACGCCGUUUACCUUUCCACCGGAGCGGGACCUAUUUAUCUACUUGCACUUUGACGUGCUUUCGAACUGCUAGGUUGGCAGGAGCAGGGACAGAGCAACGGGAGCUCACCCCGUCGCGGGGAUUCGAACCGCCGACCUUCCGAUUCCGAUCAGCAAGCCCUAGGCUCUGUGGUUUAACCCACAGCGCCACCCGCAUCCCUUACUUUAAGAGGAGGGUGGUCAUAAUUUAGGUGUGGCAACUGAGAUGGCUCUCACUAUUGUCCCACUUAAGCACACUCCCACGCUAGAGCGGACACUGAGGAGGUCCCUCCUUCUGGCUAGAGAGGACAAGGUACCCUGGACAGAAAUCACCAACACUUUGAAUUCUCCAAUUCAGAAGCAGAUUGGUAAGCAGGGCAGCUGUUGCAAGACUGGUGUAAUGCGAAUGGCUUCCCAUCAACACCAUUAGUCAAUUAGUCACCUCCAGACUGGAUUAUUGUAACUCGCUCUACGUGGGGCUGCCCUUGAGACUGACCCAGAAACUCCAGCGGGUGCAGAAUGCUGCAGCGAGACUCCUUACGGGGUCCUCGCUGCGAGAUCACAUUCACCCAGUGCUAUACCAGCUGCACUGGCUCCCAGUGGAGUACAGGAUCAGGUUUAAGGUGCUGGUUUUAACGUUUAAAGCCCUAUACGGCCUAGGACCCUCGUACCUACGGAACCGCCUCUCCUGGUAUGUUCCACAGAGGAACUUACAGUCUUCAAACAAAAACAUCUUGGAGGUCCCAGGCCACAGAGAGGUUAGGCUGGCCUCAACCAGAGCCAGGGCUUUUUCGGCUGUGGCCCCGAUCUGGUGGAACGCUCUGUCACAAGAGACUAGGGCCCUGCAGGACUUGACAUCUUUCCACAGGGCCUGCAAGACAGAGCUGUUCCACCAGGCCUUUGGCCAAGGCACAGUCUGACCCCCUCCUUUGGCAAUCUUCACAGAACUCUAGCCCAAUGGUUGCCAUCAAUUUGAUUUGAAUUAAUUUUAUAAUGAAAUGAUUUUAGAAUUUUGUGUUAUUUUAUUGUUGUUAGCCGCCCUGAGCCCGGCUUCGGCUGGGGAGGGCGGGAUAUAAAUAAAAUAUUAUUAUUAUUAUUAUUAUUAUUAUUAUUAUUAAUGCUAAGUUGAGUAGAACUAGAUCUACUCAAAUAUUCAUUGUCAGCUAAGAAGAUGAGGAAGGGAGCAGGAGGAGGAGACAAUGACAAACUUCUUCAUAGGUCUGGUGCUGAACCCUUCCUUCCUUCUCUGAGCCCUAGAACCUGUCUCUGACCUCAGAGACCAUAUGGCAAUUUGUAUGCACCUUUCAGGCUUGUGUGUAUUCCAUGUAGAACCAGGUGCACCUUUUCAUUGGCAGUGGAGCUAUUCAGCAACACAAAGUUAUAUAAACACACAUUGUUACUCGCUCGGAACCUUACUUCUCAGGAACAGGAGAUCAAAAGCUGAGAAGGCUUUUUUCCCUACAAAGAAAUAUAUACAUUUUCUGUGAAGGCAGGCAGGCUGUCUCAAUUUGUAUUGUAUGCAGGCAAUGAUAAAAGACUUGCUUUUUGUAUUUUACCACGAGGAAUGGGGAACAGGACAGGGAGUGACUCAUAAGGAUUUCAUAGAUAGUUAACCUGCAGCUGGUGGGAAGAGGAAAGAGGUGUAUACAAUCACCUGCAAUUCACACCAGAUACCCUUUCCCUGUUUCUCACCAGAAAGAUACUGUUAUGAGAUGUGGAGGGGAGUAGGCCAUAGGCCGAGACCCUUCUAAUUCCUGGAUGCAGCAAGUGAUAAAAUCUAAGAUAUAAUCUGAUUCCUGGAAUAGCCAGGCUAGCUCCCUGGUGUGAUAAUGACCCUCUAAAUAUGAGCCAGAUAACCCCCAACCCUUCCCUCAACUCACUGGUAGUUAGAAAAGACAACGACCAGAGCUGAGUUGUGUGUUUGUGUGUGUAAGUUAGAAGAUGGAGGAAGAAGCAGGCUGGAGCCUGUUAGGGAGAGACAAGCCUGGUUUCUCCUCACAUCCAAGGCUGUGGCGAUGGGUGAAGCAAGACCCUCUUGGAGUGCCAAUCCUGUGGCUGCCCAUCUGUGGAAAGCUCUCCCCAGACAGGAUCGCCUGGCACCAUCAUGACAUGUCUUUAGGAGCCAUUCAUCCUUACACAGGUCUUCAGCCAUUAAAUAAUCCAUGACUGGAUGUGUCAUGUGUUCAGCUAUCCAUGAGGAAAAGUCUAUACUUGUAGAAUGCAAAACUCGCAAACAGAUUUUUUGGGGGGAAAUGAGCCACUAAAAUUCUACUAGAUCCUGCUAAAUUUCUAGGAUUGGCUUUUACGUUGUGUGAAAGACCAAAUAAAACAUGAAAAUUAUUAGGUAAGGAAACAUUGGGGAAAUGGAAUAAAGUGCUCUAGGAAUGCGGCAAUUUACCGGCAUGUUAAAAGGAAGAGGGCCUUCUCAGUUGUGGCUCCUCAUAUGUGGAAUGUUCUCCCCAGUGAAGUCCACUUGCUGCUUUCACUGAAUUCUUUUUGGCACAGGUAAAAACUUACCUUCCUCCAGGCUUUUUUUUUUAAAAAAAAUUAAUUAAUACACAUAUACAUACACAUAUAGGGACGUGGGUGGCACUGUGGGUUAAACCACAGAGCCUAGGACUUGUUGAUCAGAAGGUCGGUGGUUUGAAUCCCCGCAACGGGGUGAGUUCCCGUUGCUCGGUCCCUGCUCCUGCCAACCUAGCAGUUCGAAAGCAUGUCAAAGUGCAAGUAGAUAAAUAGGUACCGCUCUGGCGGGAAGGUAAACGGCGUUUCUGUGCGCUGCUCUGGUUCGCCAGAAGUGGCUUAGUCAUGCUGGCCACAUGACCCGGAAGCUGUACGCCGGGUCCCUUGGCCAAUAAAGCGAGAUGAGCGCCACAACCACAGAGUCGGUCACGACUGGACCUAAUGGUCAGGGGUCCCUUUACCCUUUACCCUUUACCUUUACAUACACAUAUAAAUCAUAAAACAUGACAUGACUAACAAAAAAAAACAGGUCACUAGGGAGGUAAAAAUACUAAACCAUUUAUUUUACAGUGCAUCAUAAUGAGGUGAUUACAAUAAACCAAUAGAAUAAGUUCUUCAAUAAGUCAUCUUGGAAAACACAGGAAUAGAAGUGAACAAGUGAGUACUACCUGCUUAUCUACGCCUUAUUGCAAUAUAUGUUGUAGCUAUUUCUCAUGCGCAUGUUGUUUCAUUUGUAUAUUUAAUCACACCAUACUUUGUAGAAAUCAUCUGGUUUUUCCCCUCUCUCCUUGCCAUCUUCAGUUUUUGCUACAGCUUUUCAUUUAUGGCAGUUUGCCAGACUUCAUUAUACUGCUGAUCAAUAUUCAUUCAUUGCAAGGUUUUCCAAAUUCUGGAUAUUACCAUUCUAGCUGUUGUUUUCCCCAGGCUUUUGAUAGACUGAUAAUUGGUUUUUUACCAGUGUGCUGCCAUUUAGGUUUUCAAAUGUGUUCAUCACUUGGAAACCUUUGGGUAACCAUCCACUGGCAAGUCUAAAUAAGUAUAAUUAUAAUUAAUGUGAGAAUACAGUUAAACACAGUUACGGAAAAAUCUAGGUGCGAGGUUGCUCAGUCACCCAGCUCAUCGGGCAGAGCCCGCGGGUCCCUGCGGAAUAAAGGAAGGAGUCCAGCCACCAACUGGAGCAAAUAGCUGUAGACCAAAGUUUAUUGCGCAACAGGUUCAAAGAGGAAUUUUGAACUCCGAGGAUGGGGUGACAAGGCCUUAUCCCAGCAUACAGUUCACUACAUCAUUGCUACAUCAGAAAAGGGGAGGGUUAUACAUGAUUAACAUAGGAGGAAUGUGUUGGGGCAACAUGGGGAUACAGUAUAUGUAUUGGGAAGUACAUUCUAAGCACCUACUACAAAGGGAGAAUGGAACUUUGGUUUGCAUAGUCUGCCACCUGGGCAAGUCCGGAGGAGUGCCUUUGCCCAGUGAUUGAUACCUAUGAGUACCUUCCUGUGAGUACAGUGACCUCCCACUUGAGGGAUUAUGGUGGGACCAAGUGGUUUCCAAGUCCUUGGCCAAUGAAGCAAAUUGGCGAUGGAAUGAAGGGAAACAGCAAAGGAGUUGAUUUUAUAUGAUUUUUAAAGCUAGGUAACUUCCCUGAGCUGUCAAGUCGAAAGGAUACCGUAUUUUUUGCUCCAUAAGACGCACCUGACCAUAAGACACACCUAGUUUUUAGAGGAGGAAAACAAGAAAAAAAAUAUUCUGAAUGAAACAGUGGGUGUAUGAUUUUUGUGGUUGAUGCUGUGGCCACAGACAUGUGAUCUGACAGUGAGUUUGGAGUAGCCCAAUGCAAAAAUCCUGAGGAUCCAUGUGGAUCUGUGCUUUGUAACCACGUUUUUGCACCAUUGCGGCCCCACGCAACAGCCUCCUUUAUCUCUAGCGUCCCUUAUCUCUCUCCCCGAUUGGCAAACGAUCAGCGGCUUUAUUUCAACACCCACUUCCCUCUUUCAAAAAAAAAAAAAAAAAGCAUGAUCUGCUUUUUGCCCCUGGGCAAUUCGGCUCCAGGGACCACACAUUCGCUCCAUAAGACGCAAAGACAUUUCCCCUUACUUUUUAGGAAGGAAAAAGUGUGUCUUAUGGAGCAAAAAUAUGGUACAUUUAUGCAUAAUAUUUGUAACAUUUAACAACUUUAAAGAUGUGCCCCCCCCCUAAUUUCCGUAACAAACACAAAACAGGAUCAGAGGAAGGGCAACAAAAACAGUAGCAGGUUAUGCAAGGGUAAGCCACCUUUUCAGGUGUGCUACUCAUGUGAAACGGCUGAACAAGAGGAGGGGGGGUGAGGAAGCAAGCCCCUCACCUUCCAUUAGUUGAAGUGGGAGGUCUAUAAGGGGAGGCUGACCUCCUGAGGGCGGAGAUCUCCCCACACAAUUCAGGACACUUGCAUGUAGCCUUUGCAUGUCAGCAGCAUGGCUAAACAGGGCUAAGAUGCCCAUAAUCCAAUAAAAUGGAAUAAAUUCAGCCUACUGAAAUAGAAAAUACAUUAUUUCUCGUGCAAUAAUUGUUCUCACAAUGAGCCCUCCAAGAGCUGCAUGCCUGAAUAUCAGUUUCACAUGGUCCCCUUUGAUUUAUUACCAUUUUGGAAUGGUUCAUUAAACUCAUACUGGUGGAACAGAUCUGUCCAUUUCUACGCACAGGAGAAGCCUUUGUCCGUCAUAUCUUUGAUCACUAGUUUGAAUGCGUUCAGGGCGACAGAGAGAUAGCAGGGUUUUUUUUCCUGGCUACUCUAAAUGCUUCAGCCUGUCUUUGCUCUUUGUGAUUGACACAUCCAGGAGUGAAUGUUACUGUGAACACCGUUCAGUUUUCUCCACUUCUAGAUAGCAUCAGAAAAGCAAUCCUUAAAGUGGUCUGGAAUCGCUGCAGUGAAAAUUUAUAUACAGUAUUUCAGCUGAAAAGCAGAAGGGGGUCUGGAUAGAAGGCUGAACCCUCUGCUAAAGAAACCCCAUGCUUUUUAGUCACACCAGGGAAAGCAGAUCCAAUGUUAUUCAAAUGCUUUCCAUAGAAGUUCAGUUUCUCAGGCAUAUAUUACUUCAGACUGGACCCCAUGAAUAGCUAGGAGUCUUAUCCCAAAAAAGUGACAGAUUCCUAUCUAGGUUAUAAACAUUACAAACCCCCUUUUGCUUCUCUGCAUCAGUUGUAUAAAAAGCUGGCAAUUGUGUUAGACAAGCAAAAAGUAAUUUGCUUCAUUUUGCCAAACAAAGAAGGCUUUGUGGUAUAGAAAUGUAGAUAUGUAUGUUUUGGAAAUGGGAAUGAGUCUUGUGUAAUUUGCAAUGUUUUGUAAGUCGACAAUUGGAUGAAGCAAUAAUAGAAUUUGGUAUGGUUUGCAUUGCAGAAAUGUUGUGUGUUUCCAAUGACCCUGAUACUUAUCGAAACCUCUGACCACUCAGAGAUUUGGGUACAGUAUUGUACACUGAAUACGCAGUUUCAUUGGACAAGUAUACUUCGAUCUGUGUUGAAUUGUGGUCAUACUGUAUUGAGAAGGAGUUCAUGGUCAUUUAUCUUGGCAAAUUUGUUGAGGGAUCUUCCUGGAAAAUAAAUGUAGAUGAGAAGAUAAAACCAGAGCCUAUGAACUAGCAUUUUCAUAAAUGCUUUGUAUGGUAGAGAUAUGUACAGUCGUACCUCGGAAGUCAAACAGAAUCCGUUCCCGAAGUCCAUUCGACUUCCGAAACGUUUGACUUCCAAAGUGCGGCUUCUGAUUGGCUGCAGGAAGCUGCAAACUGUAUAUUUGGAAGAAUUGAAUGUGUGGAUGAGAUAUAAUGAUUUGGAUUUGUUAGACACUGAGGAAGAGUUUAACAGCUCUCCUUGAAGUUUAAAGAGACCCAACUGCCGGCAAUUACAAUAAUAAGGGCCGGAAAGCAUUGUUUACCUUUGCUAAAAAGUGUUUGUUAUAGAUGGAGAGGCAUAAUGAAUGACCUAAAAGUGAGAAUUGCAUAGAAAUACAGUGGUACCUCGGGUUACAUACACUUCAGGUUGUAUAUGCUUCAGGUUACAGACUCCACCAAUCCAGAAAUAUUACCUCGGGUUAAGAACUUUGCUUCAGGAUGAGAACAGAAAUCUGGAACGAAUUAAGUAUUUAACCCGAGGUACCACUGUAGAAAACAAGCAGAGAAGAAUAAAAAAACCCCAAUGAGAGCCAGUUGGGACAGUUAUAAUGUCACAGGAAAGAUUACAUGCAACAAAGACAUAUUAAAAAGGGGAAUGGAUUUAUAAAGAUACCGGAAGCUAUGAAGCUACAUUGAUUAAUUCAAGGUAUUGGAAGUAAGUACCUUCCAGGUAGAUGUAAAAUUCAGGCUUUUUCUUUUCUUUUGUGAGCUCCCCUGCAACUCAAUUUAAAAGGUAAAGGUAAAGGACCCCUGACAGUUAAGUCCAGUCUCAAACGACUCUGGGGUUGCGGCUCUCAUCUCAUUUUACUGACUGAGGGAGCUGAUGUUUGUCUGCAGACAGUUUUUCCGGGUCAUGGGGCCAGCGUGGCUAAGCCGCUUCUGGCGAACCAGAGCAGCGCACAGAAACACCGUUUACCUUCCCGCCAGAGCGGUACCUAUUUAUCUACUUGCACUUUGAUGUGCUUUCAAACUGCUAGGUUGGCAGGAGCAGGGACCGAGCAAUGGGAACUCGCCCCGUUGCAGGGAUUCGAACCUCCGGCCUUCCCAUUGGCAAGCCCUAGGCUCAGUGGUUUAGACCACAGUGCCACCAGCAAUUUAGGCAUACACAAAAGCCCACCCUAAAAUUGAUGCUCCCAGUAUUUACGAAAAGAUCCUGACACGUUUCUUACAAACAGUUGUUUCCAAAGGAAUUUCUGUACAAAGGCAGACCCUCUCUCUGGGACAUACAAAGAGUGCUUCUUAAUCAGUCACAAUAAGUGUCCCCGACCGGAGAAGAAUGGCAAACCAAGUUGAUGGACUAUGUUGAAAUGGCAAAACUAACUUGAAAGCUUAGGAACCAAGAGGACAAGAACUUAAAAAAAUAAUGGGGAAAAAUUUAUAAUUUAUUUAGGAGACCAUUGUCAGGAGAUGAAAACAUUAGCAGGAUUUUAAUCUCACCUGUGAGGUAACAAAGACUAUGGAUAAUUCAGAUGGAUUUUUUUAAAAAAUGUGGGUAACUGACUGAAAUGCAGUUGUAAGCAUUGAAAUUAGGACCCAUGGAGGGGAUGAGGGGAAGUCUUGAGAUUCAGAGUAAUCUCUUCAUAUGGAUUUGUAAUUGAUUUUGUUAUAGGUUUAUAUUUUUUAAAACCAAAUAAAAAUUAUUUUACAAAAGGGAGAAAAAAGUGUCUUAUCAAUUGAGAGCCAUUGCACAAAUGAUCAUGUUUAUACCCUAGUGAGAGUGACACAUAACGGCAGCUUCUGAGUUUUAGCCACUGUGUUAUGCCAGAACAGAAAGGACUCGCCCCAUCAGUGGAGGUUGUUUCUCUGGGCACAAUGAUCAAACCUUGCUUGGGUGUUGCCCAAGAUCAGAAUGAUCAUGCAGGCGGGAACUGUAGCUUCCCCUAGAUUUGCCCCCGUGAGCUCCCUGUUCUGUAUAUCUCCAUUGCAGUAUUCUUUCUCUCUGCCCUUCUACAAAAGGAUUUCACGCUUGGCCUUCGGUGUGCGCCAAGAUGCUCAGAGAGCAGCAUCCAUUACCACAUCAGUUCCUUGCCCCACCAUGCUUAGCUGUGGUGAGGCUGGUCACGGACUGGACCACCAUGUAGAUGAUGGAAGGUCUAGUUGAUCACCAGUGUAUAUUACUGGCAAUGUUUGCAUUGCAAAAUUUAUAUUAGGCUUGAAUAGGGGAAGUGUAGAGCAGACGCGAGUGGUGCUGUGGUCUAAACCACUGAGCCUCUUGGGCUUGCUGAUCAGAAGGUCAGCGGUUCAAAUCCCCACAACGGGGUGAGCUCCCGUUGCUCGGUCCCUGCUCCUGCCAACCUAGCAGUUCGAAAGCACGGCAAAAAGUGCAAGUAGAUAAAUAGGUACCGCUCCAGCGGGAAGGUAAACGGUGUUUCCGUGAACUGCUCAGAAGCGGCUUAGUCAUGCUGGCCACAUGACCCAGGAAAACUGUCUGCAGACAAAUGAUGGCUCCCUCGGCCUGUAAAGUGAGAUGAGCGCUGCAACCCCAGAGUCGUCUGUGACUGGACUUAACUGUCAGAGGUCCUUUACCUUUUUUUAGGGGAAGUGUACGGAGCUGGGGGCUUUGGAUGAGAAGCAGAAAGCGAAAGGAAGCAUGAUGCAUAUGACGGCAAAAAGUGAAGGACACAGGGACCUGUUUGUACAACAGACAAGAAAAUUAGUUGGUGAAUAUUAAUACAACAUAAAGAUAAAGAAAAUAAGUAACGGCUACCUCCCUAGUCAAGACUGUAAUCUCAUACAUUAUUAGAAAAUAGGUCAGAGUUGUUUUAAUAAUUCAUUCCCAAGGAGCCUUAUAUAAAAUGUUAGUUAUGUGAGACAAUAAAAGCCUUGUAAGGAUUCUCAGAAAUAGAAAUGGUUUGUUUUAUUUGGACUUUAUUAGACAUAAUCAUUUAGAUUAUGUGCAAUAAUUGGCCAUCCUUACCAUGAAUACCAGAUUGCAGCUACAGAAAUGUAGUUCCUUUAGUCUGGGCAGAAAUAAAUCCAUUCCCACCCCCCUUUCGUGUUUACAAUAUCCCUUCAAUACCUUGCCAAGCCAAUCAGGAGAAAAGAAAAUUGCUUUGGAUAGGGAUCUUUAUCUAUAAAAUAUGUAUUUACCUUUUUAUUGAUCUUCAUACCACUUGACAACACUCCAAAUUUUGAUUCGGUGUUUCUGAAGCAUGUUAACUUGGAGAGGUGGUGUUGUGUGAGGUCCUAUUCUGUUUCCCCUCAUGAUAUGGGCCAGUUUAAACACCUACAAAGCCAACUGGGCACAAACAAGUUGAGCACUCCGCCCAGAGGCCCGAUUCUGAGAAUUAUGACAAUCAGGCCUCUGUGUCUGUUCCACACUUAAAUGCAUGUGGGGUUGCUUGCCUUUGCCUUCAACUGACCAACAAUCCUCUUAGUCGGAAGAAAAAGGCAGCUUCCAUCUCUCAACAUGGAAGAGCUGCCAUACAAAGUGAUGAAGUGGCCAUUGGCUGAAAGAAACAAAAUCACAUUUCCUCCAGCUUUACAAGUCUAAUGUGUGAUUCUAUUCAAAGCCAGAUAUCUUUGGAAAGUAACCUGGAUUAGCCAUUAUACUGAGCCUAUUUUAAGUUUUGGCAGUUUGUGUUUUUUAACGGCUCAAAACCUGUAACAAAAUGGUAGUUUUGCUCAGCUCAGAAUUCAUAAAUCUUCAUCACUUCAUAACCUCCGAUUUUUAUACCUUGAUCCUUAAAGUGCAAGUGUUGAGAUGAGUCUGCUAUUGUACCAUUUGCAUCUGGUCUAAUGGUAUAGCCUAACAUAAAUUGGUGACCAGGUGUUGUUGUUGUUUAGUCGUUUAGUCGUGUCCGACUCUUUGUGACCCCAUGGACCAGAGCACGCCAGGCACUCCUGUCUUCCACUGCCUCCCGCAGUUUGGUCAAACUCAUGCUGGUAGCUUCGAGAACACUAUUCAACCAUCUCGUCCUCUGUCAUCCCCUUCUCCUUGUGCCCUCCAUCUUUCCCAUCUUUCUUGCCAGACAGAGGGGCAGAGGGAGAAUAUGCCCCUGCCAUUCACCCAUUGCAAAAGCCAUCUACAAGACAAAAGACCCUACCAGUAACUGAGGGGGAUGUGGGACUGAUGUCACACAGAAAAAAAGAUGCCCUUUUACCCAGAGGUUUUGGCAAGAUGUUCUGGGAACAAGGAGGAGGAAAUGAGUUAGAACUCCAUGCCACACCAGCAGGAAGAGGCUGCACUGAGAGACCAGGGGCCAGGCCAGGCUGCUAUUUUGGACCCAGACUCACUGAUCAGGGCAGUGAGACACACUCUAGGGGCAUAAUGUUAUGCGCACACACACACACACACACACCCACUGAAGGCUUCCAGGUGUAAAUAUGUGUGAAAAAUUCAUAUUUCUUUUCUUCCUUUUCUUUUUUAAAAAUAAUUUUUAUUUUAUUUUUACAAGUAUAAAAUUACAAGAAUACAACCAUAUACAUCCACAUUUAAAUAUUCCUCCUAAUCUCUGGACUUCUCACCUUCCUCCCGUCCGUGGGCCCUAUUAUUAACCUUUUCUGCUGCAUCUUUCGCAACAAAUGAACAACUUGCAUAUAAACAUAGACUCGCCAUGGACAAAUUCAAUGAUAUUUAGAAUCCAUUCUUACAAAUGCUGUAAUAGGUUAAAAUCUGGUCAAGUACAAAAAACAACCUUGUAAGAUAUACCGUUUUGGGUUUCCCCCCACUUUUAUUUUCUUUUUCUCUUUUUUGUUUGUGUCUCACCAUGUCUGCCGCACAUAUAGUUAUGUACUUUUCGAACUUUCAAUAAAGGUGUUUUAAAACAACAACAACAACAACCUUUUCGACUGCAUCUUUUUCAGUAAUCCAUAUUUUAUAUAACUCCAUUAUCUCCAUAGUACUUUCUACAUUGCAAGUGUUAUUGCAAUCCUGCCAUUGUUUUCAUCUGCUUACACUAGUCUCUGAGAUAAAUUAUAAAUUUUUCCCAUUCUUUAUGAAAGUUUUGGUCUCCUUGGUUCCUGAGCUUUCCGGUCAGUUUCGCCAUUUUGACAUAGUCCAACAAUUUAAUUUGCCAUUCUUCUUUGGAAGGGACUUUAUCUUCUUUCCAUCUCUGGGCUUAAUAACAUCCGGGCGGCUGCCGUCACAUACAUAAAAAGUCUUUUCUGCGCCCUUGGAAUAUCUGAACCUAUAAUUCCUAAUAAAAAUCAUAUUUCUAAGACAGUGCAGACUCCACUGUGCCUUGCUUUCCCAACAAAAAGACAACUUGUGUUCCUGAGAUUUGUCUUUUCCGCUAUGCCAUGAGUUUAAACACUAUUUUGUGCUCAUUCCCAGGUGGUGCAGCUAUGCAGACAAGGAACGGAUAACUGGCAAAUGUUUCUGAGGAUCUUGUUCCAGGCCACAUAUAAAGAUAAUGGCCACAUGGUGUAUUGUUUUCAUUUAUUAUUCUCUGUGGCCUGACUCCAUAUAAGGCUGCUUCCAGCAUUUCCAGCUCCAAUACGCAGUAGCCUAAGCAAGAUGUUAUCAGAGUGUGGUGGAGACACAACCGGCACACCAGCCACAACGGGAGAAAAGUGUUCGGUGCCAAAGAGGCUGAUGAAGAACAGGAGUGGAGCAAAGGAAGGUCCCAAGCUGGGAAUCUGAUGUUUUAGGCCAAGG